rnacentral:rRNA from 1 species
GACGAACGCUGGCGGCGUGCUUAACACAUGCAAGUCGAACGGAAAGGCCCCCACUUUUUUGGUGGGGGUGCUCGAGUGGCGAACGGGUGAGUAACACGUGGGUGAUCUGCCCUGUACUUCGGGAUAAGCUUGGGAAACUGGGUCUAAUACCGGAUAGGACCAUGGUUUAGUGUCUCAUGGUGGAAAAAUUAUUGUUUUGGUGCAGGAUGAGCUCGCGGCCUAUCAGCUUGUUGGUGGGGUAAUGGCCUACCAAGGCGUCGACGGGUAGCCGGCCUGAGAGGGUGGACGGCCACAUUGGGACUGAGAUACGGCCCAGACUCCUACGGGAGGCAGCAGUGUGGAAUAUUGCACAAUGGGCGCAAGCCUGAUGCAGCGACGCCGCGUGGGGGAUGACGGCCUUCGGGUUGUAAACUCCUUUCGUUAGGGACGAAGCCGCACCUUUUUUGGGUGUGGUGACGGUACCUUUGUUAAGAAGCACCGGCUAACUACGUG